CAGACCAAGGGUGAAUCUCAUUUCACCCCAUGGUCCUACCCCUUCCCGUCCCUUUUACGCGUUCACGUGUAGGGGUAGGGCUAUCCCAAUUCACGCUAAUGUGUAGGGGUAAGUGGGAGGGCCACGACGACCCUCACUCCAAACAGAGAGCUACGCCAAAGUUCCCAGAGUACAACGCAAAUCAUUUCCAAAAUGGCGGAAGUCAAGCACACAAAUGUAAGUAGUUGUGUUUUGCCCUAAUUUAACUCUUUCAACCGUUUUAAGUCGUGAUAACAGAUGGAUUGUGUGAGUUCGAGCUACGUCGCAAUGUGUAUUUUUUUUUUUUUUUUUUUUCCUGCUGUAAACGCGCAUGGGGGACAUCACUCUUUAUUGCAUAAAAAAGGAAUCGGUCAAUGUAUGUGAAGGUGCGGGGAAAAGUCGAAAAACAACACGGUUGUUGUUUUUUAACAUUCACGAGCAAUGGUCGCAUCAUUUCUAAAAUGGAGGAAGCACAGAAAGAAGUACACAAAUGUAAGGCGCUCAGGUAUUGCCCUAAUUUAAAAGUUGUGAUUUGUGUCAUAUUACAAGUAUUCAUGUUCGUGAAUACGAUUCACAAGGAGUCGAGCACAAACAAAGAGCCUGAUCAGGUUUGGCGCAGAAAAUGAAGAUCGCUUCUUGAAGUCCAAAGCCUCGGCAAAACAACAGUGGGAGAAGCUGAUCAAGGAGCUGGGACUGCAAUUCAAUUCCAUUUUAUUUGUAUAGCCCUAAAUCACAUCAAGGUUGUCUCAAAGGGCUUUGCAGAGGCAAUAUGAUACACAGUCAGAAACCGCAGAUGAAAUAAAUAAAGUUCAAGUCCUGGGCAUCCCCCAUCCUUCCACCCUCCAUGUCGGCAAGGAAAAACUCCAAAACUCUUUGGGAGAAAUGAGAAACCUUGGGGAGUACCGCAGUCAGGAGAGAUCCACUCCCAGGACGGAUAGGGAGCGCAUUUUAGCUCUGUUUGAGCGCAUGGUGGACAAAAUGUGGAAGUCGACGUGCCACGCACCUAUGAACGUGGCUGAGCCCAGAAUGUGCCAUGUGCUGUUCCUGCUCCGGUCACCCCACCAUCUCUUCAUUUUGUUUAUUGAUUGUUCAUGCAUUUCAGUUGAUGCUUUGUCAUAUUUUUUUCAUUUCAGAUAGUGUCAUUGACGGAGGAGACGUUUGUAAAACUCCGCCCGUUUCAGUCAAGACGGAUGUUUUAUAAAAGUACAGGUGCAGCUUUAAAAACUAAGAAAUGAGUGUUAAAAAUGGAGUUUGCUUACUUUAAUUAUACCAAAGUGUACAUCCAUUCGUGAAAGAUUUUGGAAGAAAAAGUUAGAAGUCUUCAUAUUUUGGAGCCAUCAAACCCUGCAAUAGAAAUACAAUAUGCUGAGGAGUUCAUAAAGCUCAAUUCAGCAUACUCCUGGGACAGGAUUCAGCCAUACAGCAACAAGUACAAAGGUGCUGUCAUCAUUCAUGAGGAGGCAGUGGACAAAGGAAGCGGUCAGUUAUUUUACAUGACAAGGGGUACACAGGAAAGCAGCUUGCUACAAUAUCAAGCGAUGGCAAGCAUGUUCUCUUUUUGGUUCCACUACAAGAGCAGCUGGACACAAGGCCACUACCUCUGGAUGCAGCGGAAUUUGCAAAUAUGUUCCCUGCACCAUGCCUCUGCAAAUGUUAUCACUACACGUGAAAACCUGCAACCCAAUAACAAAUGUAAGGUUUUUUUUGUUUUUUUUUUAUUGUUUGGAUGACUGAUUAACAUGCCACCUCACUACUCUUGAGAUGGUGGGUUCAGUGUUGGCCUAGUUUGCUUGUUUGUGUGGGUUUUUGCCGCGUACUCCGGUUUCCUCACACAUCCCCCCAAAUACUUUGGAAUAUUUUGUUACGUGUGGCCAGGGUGACUGUGUUGCACUUUCUCUGGCCACCGUUGGGUGCUUCGUUCUCCUACCCGGCUGCGGCACCUGAAGACAAUCGGCACUCUGCUUGCGCACAGGUCGGACAAAAUAAUGGAAACACCUAACGUUUUGGCGUCACGGUCAUUAAACAUAAUUGUUAAAGGAUGGCACGAGGAACGAAGUUAAGAAUCUCAUAUGGCCGGCACAAUCCCCCGACCGACCUUAACAUUAUUGAGCAUUUAUGGUCAGUUUUAGAGAUUCAAUGAAGAAAUCGAUUUCCACCGCCAUCAUCUCUAAAAGAGUUAGAGGGUAUUUGAACUGAAGAACGACUUAAAAUUCCUUUGGAAACAAUUCACAAGUUGUAUGAAUCAAUACUGCGGAGAAUUGAGGCUGUAAUUGACGCCAAAGGCGGACCCACACCAUAUUUAAUUCGUUUUUCAUUUUUGAAGGUGUUUCCAUUAUUUUGUCCAAAUCCUGUAUGUACAGCAGCAUGAGUGGUAAGGAGACGUAGGGGUGCAUUUUUCUUCUUCAGAUGUGGCACAUCAUUUGUGAUAAGGUUAUCAUUCCUAGUGAGGGUGAUUACAAAUAAUUGAAAGCUUUAUCCUGUGGUUGAAGUGUACCGUAAAUGAUGCAGCCAGAAGAUAGAGGAUUCUGCUGCUAUUGAUGCCACUGAAUUUGAGGAUAUUGAUCCAAAGGACAAUGCUGACUUGGAGGAGCAAGGUAUAAUAGUUGCAAAAAACCCCCCCAAACUCUUUGUUACGCUAUACUACUUUGAACAAGAGCUGUUACUUAUUCUUUUUUCAUUGUUUUUCACCCUUGUCAAUUUUCUGUCUAGUGCACAGGUAUGCCCUGUGUGCCGUAAAGAGUUUUCUCUUUCAGUGCUUCCAAGCCAUGGCAGCGUAUGUGCGGAAAGGUAGAAGAAAUGAUAGUCCCUUGUGAAAAAAGUGAUGAAUUCAUCCUAACAUAGAAAGAAAAUACAGUUUGAAACAUCUGACUCACCAUGGCUCUGAAGAGAAGUGUUUUUAUGCUCACGCAAUGACUAUGUGGUGGUGGUGGUGGUAUACAUGUAUAGCGCUUUUCCACCUUUCAAGUAUGCCUGUACAAUGGACAAUAGAGUAACCAAUUUUCAUAACUGUCAUGUGGACGCGGAACAGUGGAUGACUGUUUGCACAAUGCUUUACAGUUCUAAGGUGAAGGGUUCUUUACUGAAGUUUGAUUGUUUUCUUCGUGCCUGCGUGGGUUUGCGCCAGGUAGUCCAGUUUGGUCACAUGACCCAAAAAGAUGCAUGUGAGCAUGCUGGCUGAAUACUUCAAAAUGUCCCUAGGUAUGAAUGUGAGAGUGUCUCGGGCUCUGCAAUUGACUGGCAACCAGUCCAGGGUGUAACCUCCCUCGUGAUGAUAACUGGUAAGGAAAGAUACAUGACAAUGUUAUUUAGCCAUGUUGUAUGUCGUGUGUAUGGUUAUUUGAUUUUUUUAGCAAUCCAUCCACUGGAGAUGAGCCGGACAAGGAGGUCGCAUCAUCCUCAUCUCUUGCCUCAUCUCUGACUCAACCCGCCCGCAGCAUUUGGUAACAAAGCAAUCAAAUACAACUGUUCAACUCUGCAACAUGGGUUCUUGAGAAUUGCGAGUCGUAACAUCCUUGUCUCGAGAGAAGCAUGGAAAACAAGAGAAAAGCCUCAGGAGGCCUUGAAGCUAUUUCUUCAAGACUUAAAGCAGAAGGGAGAACACCAGGCAGAUGAAGGGAGAACACCAGGCAGAUGAAGGGAGAACACCAGGCAGAUGAAGGGAGAACACCAGGCAGAUGAAGGGAGAACACCAGGCAGAUGAAGGGAGAACACCAGGCAGAUGAAGGGAGAACACCAGGCAGAUGAAGGGAGAACACCAGGCAGAUGAAGGGAGAACACCAGGCAGAUGCUGUCCCGGUGCGGAACGCAGCACACAGCCAUGAGGAGCGGGACAAGUGCCUGAUUUCUUUUUACAAAGAAACACUAGACAAAACCAUCUGGACGCGACCUUUCAAGUGCCGUAUUCUAGGUAGAAGUUUAACAUCGAGGCAAGGUCAUGUCAACUUUUUGGGAUCACGCAUGCACCUCGAAAUCAUGACGGUUGUAUUCAUUUGGUUUAGGGAGAGCAGACGGAAUUGUCAAGUUUUUCAAAUUGGAGCCUACUGUUUGCAUUCAUCUAACGGUAUAUUUUUGUGGUUACCUUAGCAUUGACGAAAACAACGGCCGGCGGCCCACUGGCACUGGUGAAAGCCUAGCCUGGGUUAAUCUUUGUAUUCCGGGUAGUUGCUAUACCCCACGGACUGUU